CAUACUGCAGUCGAACGCUUCUUUCCUCCCGAGUGCUUGCACUCAAUUGGAAAGAGGAGUGGCGGACGGGUGAGUAACACGUGGGUAACCUACCCAUCAGAGGGGGAUAACACUUGGAAACAGGUGCUAAUACCGCAUAACAGUUUAUGCCGCAUGGCAUAAGAGUGAAAGGCGCUUUCGGGUGUCGCUGAUGGAUGGACCCGCGGUGCAUUAGCUAGUUGGUGAGGUAACGGCUCACCAAGGCCACGAUGCAUAGCCGACCUGAGAGGGUGAUCGGCCACACUGGGACUGAGACACGGCCCAGACUCCUACGGGAGGCAGCAGUAGGGAAUCUUCGGCAAUGGACGAAAGUCUGACCGAGCAACGCCGCGUGAGUGAAGAAGGUUUUCGGAUCGUAAAACUCUGUUGUUAGAGAAGAACAAGGACGUUAGUAACUGAACGUCCCCUGACGGUAUCUAACCAGAAAGCCACGGCUAACUACGUGCCAGCAGCCGCGGUAAUACGUAGGUGGCAAGCGUUGUCCGGAUUUAUUGGGCGUAAAGCGAGCGCAGGCGGUUUCUUAAGUCUGAUGUGAAAGCCCCCGGCUCAACCGGGGAGGGUCAUUGGAAACUGGGAGACUUGAGUGCAGAAGAGGAGAGUGGAAUUCCAUGUGUAGCGGUGAAAUGCGUAGAUAUAUGGAGGAACACCAGUGGCGAAGGCGGCUCUCUGGUCUGUAACUGACGCUGAGGCUCGAAAGCGUGGGACAAACAGGAUUAGAUACCCUGGUAGUCCACGCCGUAAACGAUGAGUGCUAAGUGUUGGAGGGUUUCCGCCCUUCAGUGCUGCAGCAAACGCAUUAAGCACUCCGCCUGGGGAGUACGACCGCAAGGUUGAAACUCAAAGGAAUUGACGGGGGCCCGCACAAGCGGUGGAGCAUGUGUUAAUUCGAAGCAACGCGAACUUACCCUGACAUCCUUUGACCUCUAGAGAUGAGCUUUCCCUGGAGUGAGGGCAUCGUCAGCUCUCAUUCCCCAACGCACCUUAUAUGCAUCAUUA
rnacentral:rRNA from 1 species